GGGAGAGAUGGAAGGAUGAGGCUCGAAAUUGCAGAGGUUUUAGAGGUGAGAGAUAAAGCUUGCUCUGCAGAUAGUGUUGCUUAGGAUAAAGAAGAAGGAGAUAGAAAGCGAGGCACUUGGGUUGGAUGUUUCUAGCAGUAAGAGAAUAAGCUUGCUCGACUACUCUGGUUGAGUUUAAUGGGUAAGAGGUACCUCCUUUUAUAACAGCUGGAAGCUCCUCCUUCCCACGAAACCCUAAUGGAUUAUCUCCAAUUUUGCCAAGUCUCCCUUUUCAUUUCUCUUUUCUCCCUUCGAUCCAUCAAAUUUUGUGGAAUUCUCCUCUGCCCAAUACAUAGAGACAAGAUUUUUAGGAAUUCAGAAGUCUUCCCGUAGCCAUUCCAGUGGUUAUUUCUUAUCUUUGGCUAUAAUCUCUCCUCAUUCCCUCCACUAUUUCAUGGCAAGAUCUGGUAAAGGAAGUAGAUAGGUAACUUUGGCUGGUUUGAAGGCUCCCUUUUCUCCUGCAAGAGCCAAUAUCUUUUGGUUUUUUGAGCGAUCUGCCUUGAGGUUUGUUUUGCCCACGUGCUGGAGCCUUCCAGCAGUUCACAUACAUGGGCAACUUUGGCUUUUAAUGUGGCUUUUGUCUCCAGCUAAGUGAUGGAGAUUGCAAAUAUUUUGCUUGGUUGCUUGGGCUUUCCUAAGGUGAUGGGUUAACCCAUUAAGAGAAUGGGCUAAUUUCCUAAAGUGAUAAGGCUAUUUUAUUGAGAUGAUGGGCUAAUUUUUCCUUAAGUAUUGGGCUAUUUCUCUCAUUUAUGCUUACCCACAUAUUUGGGCUCAAGAAAUGAGCUUGAGUUUUAGGGCUCCCAAGCAGCCAAAAACUUCCAUUUCUCGGCUCAUUAAUGGGCCUCAUGAAAGCUCGUUACCAUUCAUAUCACAACCCACUCAACAAGCCCCAGGAAUUUUGCGUGGCUUGGGCCCACUCAAACUUGUAGUAUGGCUAGGUGUAAUAAUAAUAAUUUUCCGCUUGGCAUUGCAUGUCGCUUGACGUGCUCGAAUUUUGUCGCUUUGAAGAGGGAUAUGACGCUUGAAGGGAUAAGUAGCUUGGGCUCAUAAAGUCAGUGCUUAUUUCAACUCUUAGCAUGACAGAUUGCAUAUUUAUUUGGCAUGGCACAUGGGUCAUGACUUGUGCAAGCGUGAAUGACGCACUUUCUCGUGCUCCAAAUCGGGUCUUUUCUUAAUAAGGCAUUGCAUUGGGCCGGGAAUUUAUUUGGGCCCAACCCUGAAUUUUUUAGGCCUUAACAACAUGUCAUCUCAGCUGCCCAAGUCCAUCUCCACCGCUUCCCCUCCUGCCCUUUAGCCUAUUGUUGCCCGUAGAAUUUGUCCUUUCACUGGGAAGAAAUCAAAUAGGGCAAACAAGAUUUCCUUCUCAACUCACAAGACCAAAAAGUUGCAGUUUGUGAACCUACAAUACAAGAGGGUUUGGUGGGAAGCUAGGAUGCGCUUUCUUAAACUGUGUUUGUCAACUAAAGCAUUGAAAACGAUAGAGAAAAACGGAAUUGAUGCCAUUGCCAAGAAGGCUGGGUAGAUCUUCGCAAGUUAUGA
rnacentral:lncRNA from 1 species